UGGGGUAUAUUGCACAAUGGAGGGAACUCUGAUGCAGCGACGCCGCGUGAACGAAGAAGGCUUUCGAGUCGUAAAGUUCUUUUAUAUGGGAAGAUAAUGACGGUACCAUAAGAAGAAGCCCCGGCUAACUACGUGCCAGCAGCCGCGGUAAUACGUAGGGGGCUAGCGUUGUCCGGAAUCACUGGGCGUAAAGGGUUCGCAGGCGGAAAUGCAAGUCAGGUGUAAAAGGCAGUAGCUUAACUACUGUAAGCAUUUGAAACUGCAUAUCUUGAGAAGAGUAGAGGUAAGUGGAAUUUUUAGUGUAGCGGUGAAAUGCGUAGAUAUUAAAAAGAAUACCGGUGGCGAAGGCGACUUACUGGGCUCAUUCUGACGCUGAGGAACGAAAGCGUAGGUAGCAAACAGG
rnacentral:rRNA from 1 species